GAUGAACGCUGGCGGCGUGCCUAAUACAUGCAAGUCGAGCGAACGGACGAGAAGCUUGCUUCUCUGAUGUUAGCGGCGGACGGGUGAGUAACACGUGGAUAACCUACCUAUAAGACUGGGAUAACUUCGGGAAACCGGAGCUAAUACCGGAUAAUAUUUUGAACCGCAUGGUUCAAAAGUGAAAGACGGUCUUGCUGUCACUUAUAGAUGGAUCCGCGCUGCAUUAGCUAGUUGGUAAGGUAACGGCUUACCAAGGCAACGAUGCAUAGCCGACCUGAGAGGGUGAUCGGCCACACGGGAACUGAGACACGGUCCAGACUCCUACGGGAGGCAGCAGUAGGGAAUCUUCCGCAAUGGGCGAAAGCCUGACGGAGCAACGCCGCGUGAGUGAUGAAGGUCUUCGGAUCGUAAAACUCUGUUAUUAGGGAAGAACAUAUGUGUAAGUAACUGUGCACAUCUUGACGGUACCUAAUCGGAAAGCCACGGCUAACUACGUG
rnacentral:rRNA from 1 species